rnacentral:rRNA from 1 species
GACGAAUGCUGGCUGCGUGCUUAACACAUGCAAGUCGAACGGUGAAGGAGGGCUUGCCCUCCGGAUCAGUGGCGAACGGGUGAGUAACACGUGGGCAACCUGCCCCUCACUCUGGGAUAACGCCGGGAAACCGGCGCUAAUACCGGAUACGACCAGGCGCGACAUCUCGCCUGGUGGAAAGAAUUUCGGUGAGGGAUGGGCCCGCGGCCUAUCAGCUUGUUGGUGGGGUAACGGCCCACCAAGGCGACGACGGGUAGCCGGCCUGAGAGGGCGACCGGCCACACUGGGACUGGGACACGGCCCAGACUCCUACGGGAGGCAGCAGUGGGGAAUAUUGCGCAAUGGGCGAAAGCCUGACGCAGCGACGCAGCGUGAGGGACGAAGGCCUUCGGGUUGUAAACCUCUUUCAGCGGGGACGAAGCGAAAGUGACGGUACCCGCAGAAGAAGCACCGGCUAACUACGUGCCAGCCGCCGCGGUAA